CCUCUUUGCCUCUCUCUUCCGCUGCUCGGUUGUGGGGCCUCCGCUCAAGCCCUGCCGAGCCACCGCUCGUUGCGCCACCUCCGCUUGAGCCCCGUCAGUCCUCUGCUCGUGCGCCGCCUUCCUCCUCGAUCUGCCCCUGUCCCUGCCGCGGUGCCGCCCCUGCCAUGGUUUGUGUGCGCCGGAGUACACCAGGCUGCUCCACACUGGUCGUCAUCCCUCCUCUUCUUCGCUGCUGGACGGAGGUAAAAGAAAGAGCAGAACACAAUGGAGUCUUUCGGCGACGAAGCCCCCGGCCAAAUGUCUGCACAAGACCAAUGUGCUACCUCUUCUUCGAAGAUCAUGCAUUCGGGCGACUAAUCCUUUGAACCGCUGGCCUAUCCUUUGGUUCCCAACACCCAUGGUGAUUAUUUCAGGGAUGCUACUACACCACUAGCAUACACUGCUAAUUAGGGGAUCAUGUACUAGUGCUGGCAUUUGCAUGAGUCAACGACAAAUGCUACUACACCACAUUUUGUGUCGGAUUUUUCUACUCUACUACAAUUCCGAUCGAAUCGUCUACA